UUCGGGAGCCGACCAAUCAGCUGCUCAGGGAGGGCCAGAUCCACCCCUUUGGCUGCAGCCGCGCUGCUGGGCCCACCUGCCGCGCGCCCGGAGUUUCCGGCUCCGCCCACCAUCGUGAAUUCCGGGAAUGCAGCCUCCGACCGGUCGCUGGGGCCCGUUAUUUCCGCUUUUAGUGACUGGCGCUUUUUCGGUUGACUCGGACAGGGGUCCUUUUGUGAGGCACUGAUACCGACCAUUCCUUCCUGGUGACAUGGCCCGGCCCGGACCUGAGCACAGUUCCUCGGCUUCCUCUCGCCAAUGGGAAGAACCCGGAUCUCCGGGGCCAGGCAUUGAAAGUCUUCCAGUCCCUGGGUCCUGAAGCUUCCCCCGCAGAUCCGCCCGCUCCUUAGGGGUACCGGCAGUCCGCUUUCUUUCCUGUGUUUGUGCUUUGGACGGCCAGUGCAGACACUGCUUCACGUGCAUUAUCUCCUUUAAUCUCCAAAUAACACAACGAAGUCCACUGAAGCUCUGAGAGUUAAGUACUUCACCCAAAUCACACAGCUUUCAAGCCAAACAUUUGAAUAUUCUGAAUGUUGGACUUAAAGAGAAGCUGGAUAUUACUACACUGCCGAAAAUACACGUUUGAGUUCAAGGAAUGCCAAGAUGUGUACUUGCUACAUAUUUUAAGCACAUGACACCAUCCAUUUGGACCAAAAAGAACAGAUCAGACUGAUAGAGGGUAAUGGGUGCUAGGGGCCCUGGAAGACCCAAUUUGGACGGCCUCAGAAUUUAUGUAGCAUGGAGCCUGCUUUGAAUCCUCUGUCCA